rnacentral:ncRNA from 2 species
GGGAUCACGCAGGGGUCCUGGCGCCGCGUUCAGAGCCGUUUCAAACGCUGGCGCCGGGUGAGAGAGUCCCUCGGAACCUGAUGCGGGUAAUGCCGCCGUAGGGAAGCGUGCUCUUCGCCCGC